rnacentral:rRNA from 1 species
AUUGAACGCUGGCGGCAUGCCUUACACAUGCAAGUCGAACGGCAGCACGGGUGCUUGCACCUGGUGGCGAGUGGCGAACGGGUGAGUAAUACAUCGGAACAUGUCCUGUAGUGGGGGAUAGCCCGGCGAAAGCCGGAUUAAUACCGCAUACGAUCCACGGAUGAAAGCGGGGGACCUUCGGGCCUCGCGCUAUAGGGUUGGCCGAUGGCGGAUUAGCUAGUUGGUGGGGUAAAGGCCUACCAAGGCGACGAUCAGUAGCUGGUCUGAGAGGACGACCAGCCACACUGGGACUGAGACACGGCCCAGACUCCUACGGGAGGCAGCAGUGGGGAAUUUUGGACAAUGGGCGAAAGCCUGAUCCAGCAAUGCCGCGUGUGUGAAGAAGGCCUUCGGGUUGUAAAGCACUUUUGUCCGGAAAGAAAUCCUUGACUCUAAUACAGUCGGGGGAUGACGGCACCGGAAGAAUAAGCACCGGCUAACUACGUG